AACGAACGCUGGCGGCAGGCUUAACACAUGCAAGUCGAGCGCCCCGCAAGGGGAGCGGCAGACGGGUGAGUAACGCGUGGGAAUCUACCAUCACUACGGAACAACUCCGGGAAACUGGAGCUAAUACCGUAUACGUCCUUCGGGAGAAAGAUUUAUCGGUGAUGGAUGAGCCCGCGUUGGAUUAGCUAGUUGGUGGGGUAAUGGCCCACCAAGGCGACGAUCCAUAGCUGGUCUGAGAGGAUGAUCAGCCACACUGGGACUGAGACACGGCCCAGACUCCUACGGGAGGCAGCAGUGGGGAAUAUUGGACAAUGGGCGCAAGCCUGAUCCAGCCAUGCCGCGUGAGUGAUGAAGGCCCUAGGGUUGUAAAGCUCUUUCACCGGUGAAGAUAAUGACGGUAACCGGAGAAGAAGCCCCGGCUAACUUCGUGCCAGCCGCCGCGGUAA
rnacentral:rRNA from 1 species